rnacentral:lncRNA from 1 species
UCUCUCUCUCCCUCGCGUCGCCCAGCAGUGUGACCGUUCGCCUUCCAAGCGACGGCUCGGCCACCACAGGUCGAGCCGAUCUCCGCCGUGGGCACCUACGGGUCCACCUCCGUGUCGCCGUCGCAACCUCACCAACCUCCACCCCGGGCCUGCCCUGACCUGGCCGGAAAAUCGUGUUUUCCGACGGAGGUUCGUCCGAAGCUACCCAAACUUCCAGCUCGAAAUUCUCCUUCGUUUCUCCACCAAAUCGAUCGAGUGAGGUAUGGUUUCUCAACUAUUUUUCGUGUUCUAGCUGAUGGGUAUAUGGGCUUCGAUCGAUUUUAGCGUUAAGGGGUUCGAUUUUCGACUUGAAGUUUGGCCGAAACUUCGGCCCUUCGAAACUACUAUUUCUGGUCACUUUUUGGGGGUGGUCCAAGAACAAAAGUGACUCCAAAUGGGGUGUUUUACCUAGGGCAGGAGUUUGGAGUCUUGGUUCCGAGAUUUUUCGGCCACCCGAAAUCGCUUUGGACACCCAAAGCUGCCCGCGCGAGCUGGAGCGCGUGGGCGACGGUAGUGAUGAAAUCCUGUGCAGUUUUGUGACCCUCGUGUCGUCACGAGUGCGUAGGGUUUCGCGGAUCUUAAUUCGGAGUCCGUUUGAGCCCCGAACGGAUUUUCCAUAUCGCGCGAUCCGUGGGUGCAGUGUCGUUUAAUCGUUGGAUCGCGCUGAACUUUGGAUAUGUCGGUCUACGUGAUUUCAGGAUCACGUAGGAUUCGACGGAUUGCGAAUCGGAGUCCCGGAUACUCCGAAAUCGCGAACCCUGGGGCUAGGGUUUGGAUUUUAAACGAUAACGCGAUUUUUGCCAAUCCGACCGUCCGUUUUGGACCAAACUCGCAGAACAUGGUUCCCUCUCUGUAAGGAACCUUCAGGGAAGCCCAGAUUGGCCAUCGGAGGUCGUGGACCCACGGGGUCCCGGGUCGGCCGAUCGGGCAGUGUAUCGCUUAGCUGAGCGUCGGACCUUUUGAAACUGGUCCAAGUGUCUGAAAAGGCUAAUAUGGGUUCAGGAGUAACUUGGAUUUGAACGCACAUAUUUCUAGGAGCCGGGGGCAGGGUGUUUAAUUGAAAUUCUUUUAUUCAACAGUUUAUUAAUUUAUUAUUCAUGAAUAAUCAAGCAUCAGAGGUCCAGCCGAUCAGCAGGAGGAACCUUCAAAUGGCCAAAUUAGCUCGGACCAUCUGUGAGUGGACUUUCUUUCACGAAUUAUUUUAUAUAAAUGAGUUAUAUAGAGAACUUUCUAUAAGUAAGAUUUCAUAAGUGAUUUUAUAUUGAUUUUAUAUAAAUGAGUUUAUUUGAAUAAAGUUCUUUAUUUGAUCUUGAGUAAACCUGAUUGUGGUUUUGAACAUGAUUAGUACAGUAAUAGUUUUAUAAAUCUGUGCUGCUUAUUUACCAGCUAUAGAAACAGAGUUUGAGAUUGGAAUCAGUUGAAAUAGCAGCACAAUUUGAGAUUUUCUUUUUCUAAAGGAAUUUAUUUUAAACCCACCUCGUACCCAUUUUCUUUGGUGAUUACCCAGAGUUGGGCCGAUGUCUACGGACAUCCGGCCCGAUUUCAGUUUAUGUCAGUGCACUCGACUUUGCCUCACGAGUUUCGGGGACGCCGGACCGUGAGUGCCAGGAUUUGAGGCUCGGCAGACUUGGUGUCCCGAGACAGCCAGGAUUGCGGCUUGCGUGUCCCCGAGACCCGCCAGAUUGCGGAUCAGGCUGACUACGGUCCCCUGAUCCUGCCAGAGCUACUCGAGCUGACUUGGUGUCAUCGAGGAAUCUGCCAGCGGGACAGGCUGAUCAUAGUCCCCUGAUUUCGCCAGUUUGCGGCUCGGGUGGACUGUGUGGCGCCCGAGACCUGCCAGGGAAUUGACGGAUAUGACAGGGGUACAAAUAGGUGGUAUUUUCAAAGGAUUUUGAGUUUUCUUUUAUUCAAGGAUGAUUUUCAGCCAUUUUAUAUUGGUUUCUCAGUAAUUGCACAUUUAUAUUUUUGUAUUUUUAUUCAGUUAUGCCAGUUCUUUGAUUUCUCCAGGCAGUGAUAUUUUUAUAUAUCUGAUCGAUUAUGUAAGUUUAUGCAUCAGCAUACUGAUUCAUGCUUAUAGAAUCUUUUAUAUUGAGAUAUAGUUAAAUCAUUGAUAUAUAUAUAUAUAUAUAUCCUUAGUUAUUUCAAAACGGGGGUAUUAUAUUCUGACUUGUUUUUAAGAACUUCAUUUUUGUCCACUCACAAUUUAAAACUUGUUUUUCGCCCCCAGGUCGUAGAAGUGCACAGGAUCCACCACCGGGCCACUCAUAGCCUCCGCGCUUCAAAGUCAGGUAGAGUUUAGUAGAAAAUCCCUGAAAUCUUGGAAUUUAGAAAAUUGCUCUGAUAUCGAGUUUUAGUGGAAAAACUGAAACUGGCGAUUAUUGGUUUACCCUAUUCUGGCAGUUGGUGUGGUUUUGUUGAAUGUUUGACAGGUGAAAAAUUUUGGGAUUGGUCAAGAUACAGGGGAGACUCUGCCGAAUUUUCGGCAGAAGUCUAAGGGAAUUUUAAAGAAGAGUUGAAGCAAGAAGGGUAAAAAGGUCCCUUGUGCCCGACAUUCGCCAGGUGUCGGAUACGCACGGGACUUGGCUCGAAUUCCAAAAUGGAAAUUGGGUCGGGUCCUGUCAAUAUUAGUUGGUCUUUAAGUGAUCAGUCGUUAGACAAACAUAUUAUGGGUACUCAAAAAACGUUGGCGAAAGCUGUGUGAGCAUGCAACUGUUUUGGAUCCUAUAUUUAUAUGGAAAUGACUUGUGUUGUGCAUAUUCUUUUCACUAUUUUUCUUAAACAAUAUUAUAUUAUUUUCACUGUCUAUUUUCAAAACUGGCCGGGAGCCCCCUUGCUGGGCAAAUGAAUGUAUGUGAUGCUCAGCCCUACUUUUCCUUGUAAAUCAACAUCCUAAUUAGAAUAGCUACCUGGUUAGGAUUCCUUGUAAUUAGCUAAUUACUCUUCCUUGUAGGAAAAGUCAAUAUAUAUAUAUAUAUAUAUAUAUAUCUUCAUCUUGGAUAAAUAUAAUAUCAAUCACAAUUAUUUAAUUGUGUUUAGUUUGAGUGUGACAAGUAUUGAAAACGGUGGUGAGGUACACAUUGGGUUGGCUAAAGUGGUGAGCAAAAAUGAUCCUCAUGACCUUAUACCUCAUAAUUUCAAUUUCAACCCAAGAUUUCCCCAAAUUUUUUAAAUCCUAAUAGCAAAAUAUAACCUAAUUCAUUGAGUUAGAGGAAGAAGACUUGAACGUGAUCCUAACAAAAUAAAAAUAAAAACAACACUUGUGGAUGAUAACAUAAUGUCUAUAAAUUGUAAAUUUUGAAAAACAUAGUGACCAAAUUGAAUUUUCGUGUAAAAUUCAGUGACCAAAAAGGUAUUUAACCUUUAAAAAAAUGUUGUGAAUUAUGCCAGUUGAUCAUGACAAUGUGCUUAUCCUUUUGCACAUGAGUUUACUCCCUUAGCAUAUUUUACAUCAUGUUAAGCUAUAAUUGACAAAUUAAAAAUAGAUAAACACCAAACAUUCUCUUCAUAUCAUUAGAGAUGUAAGCUAUGAAGCAUUUCUCUUCUUUGAUAAAGGGUUUAAAGGUUAAGUAGUUCACACUAUUUACUCUUACACUUUAGAUCAUGAUUCAUGUGUGUGAUUUCUCUCUCCUAAUAUCAUUGUAUUAAUAAUUUUAAAAAACUCGAAUGUUCGGACAAUAAAUAUCUUAAUUGUUAAAAUUAAAAUAUAAUUUUAUUAAUUAUUGGAUUACAUACAGUCCUGAUCUCUUGGACCUCUGUAGUCCAAGAGAUUUAUGGUCACUCACCGUUGGAUGUAAAUUCAACGGUUGACUUGAAUCGGAUAAUAAUCAUUUAUGUCAUAUUGCAUUUAUAUAUAUCAUUUUGAACCAUUGGAUUAAUAUCCAACGGUAGGUGACCAUAAUCUCUUGGACUCCUGUGGUCCAAGAGAUCGGGACUGUACAUAUAUAGUGCAUAUUAAAUUUACUAACACAUUUAAUUGAUGGUGAAAAUUAGAAGUCGUUAACUAAUUCUUAACUUAAAAUCUUUAUUUUCAUUUUUUUUAACACUUAAAAUCUUUAUUAGAAAAGCCUUAUUUUGUGAUUAUUUUAUUUUCUCUUACAAGAUGGUCUCUAAUUAAAGCGGGAGACCUACCACUACUAAAC